rnacentral:tRNA from 1 species
CGGCAGACCGGGCAGCCGUUGCGCGCGCUGGAACUGCGCUCGGCGGACGGGCGCUUGCUGGGGCCGGAGGAUUGCCGGCGGGUGCCGG